ensembl:lncRNA
AAAAGAGACCGACACAUGGUGGACUUUUCCGACGCAUGGUGGACUUUUCCCGGAGUACCGAUGUGGUGAUGCUUGACUGACAAAGACUGGGGGAAACGGUGUUUUAUGUCCUGCCGCGAUGUGUAUAUGUGAACUAGCUCAGCUAGCUCAAAGAUUUCUAUGUGCUGCCUUUCUGAUAUGUUUGCUGCCAUCAUGUCAGUGAAACAGGAUCACAGCUGAAGAAGAGGCUACAAGAGGUUUCCCGACUCAUUUCACGCACACACAUCAACCACAGCAUUAAAACCACCUGCUUAACUUUGUGUAGAUCCACCUGGUGCCAUCAAAACAGCUCUGGAGUGUCGGUGCGUGAACAUGGGACCUCUGUGGGCAUCCUGUGGUGUCUGAUGAUGAGAUAACAGGCUUGUUCUGGUGCAUUCUGUGGAUGCUCAAUCAGAUCUAAGUCGAAGGAGUUUGAAGGGAAGGCUCAUGUCUUUGUCAUGUUCUUCAAUCUAUUCAUCUUUAGGAAGAUGGUACAAGCAAGAGUACAGCUGCAUGCCUGUCCAGCACAUUCAUCCUCCCCACCUCAAUGUUCUUGCCUUGAGUACAAUCUCCAGAGCUGAAUUUGGAUUGGACCAGGCCAAACUACCGCCUCCAAUCACGGUGUCAGGUGGAGUUCAAAAGGCUUACUCAUGCAGCGGUUGGCGGCAGUUUUUAUUCGGAGAGAUUGAGCGGCCUGGUGUAUUUUGUGAACAUUUGUGUUUGUGGUUGGGGUGCGUGUGGGGGUAAUAGCAAGCCAGGGAUCUCUGACUUGAGAAGAAACACUACUAGAGAAUUCUUUGUUAGUUUUCAGAUAGGGAUGUUGCAGCUGUGUUUUUGGUUUAGAGUUUUCUUUGUUUUGGUUGUCUUUUGUUUCUUUCAGUGUUUGUAAUAUCAGCUUCUGAGCAAAGUUUGCUUUCUGUUUUGUUUAUCUUGUUUUGCUUCCAUAGCACUCAUUUGCUUUGAACCCCCUCACUUUCUGUUGUUAUGCCCAUACCCCCUUUCACAACAACAAAAAAAAAACACUUAGAGAGCGCAGUACUCCGCCAAGGCAGCUCAGCUGUCUCAUUUCCUACAGCUGAAAUCUGGAAUAAAAAAUCAUGGUAAAAAUCAUGGCACCAUAGAAUGUGAUCAUUUAAUAUAGAUGUACCCACAAACAAAAUGACGUUGUGUUGAGCACAGGCUUGUGUUAUGCAUGUGUACAUUAUGUACGGAUACCGAAUUGCGUGACCUAAAUAUGCAGAGGGCGGUGGGAAUUGAUGGGACUUGGAAACACCCCCACAAUUUAAUCAGUUGUUCCUUGUAUGAUUUCCAACAGAUAAGUCCCGAUAAGUCUGCAACGGUGGAUUUGUAGUAGGAUCACAAUCAUGUGAUCGUCAGCAGGCAGCUAAUGUGAUGUUCUCUUGUUGUCAUAGUUACAGUGAUGCUGUGCCGCUAUCUCGCAAUGAUACAGAAAUCUUUAACAAAUCUGUGGAUCCAGACUACAAGCCACGUCACUGCCAAAAUUGAAUCAGUUGGUCCUUGUGUCAUUUCUGACCUUCCCUGAAAAUUUUAUCCAAAUCCAUUAAUUUUUGAGUAAUGCAAACAGACAGACACCUAUCAUACACUCUGGAACUCAGUGUUUGUGUUACUUUCUUUUUGUUACUCUGUGGUUACUCUAAACAGCUGGGAUAUAAACCUCACAUGUUUUUAGCUUUAAUGCUGUGGCUGACUGAUGUAUAUUCGUCUGUCAUAAUCUGGUCUUUUGUCUAAA